ensembl:ncRNA W10C8.14 ncRNA
ACGAUUUUAAUGGGAAAUUGACGGAAAAAUGGAGGGAAAAGAAGCACGGAACCAUUUAAAACAAGAAAAAAGGGGGACUAGGUCCGCGGAAGUUAGGCCAUGGAGAGGGGAAAGACGCGGGAAAUUUGAAUUCGAUAGGAUUUUGGGGA